UAUAAGUUCAUAGAUAUUAUUGCUUGAUAGAUCAAUGAUGAGGAAUACUAUAUUUAGCUGAUAUAAAAUAAAAAUGAUGGCUAUAAUUAUAUAUUAAUGUUAGUCAAUUUUAAAAACAUACACACCAAAAAAAAAAUUAUAUCCCCUCUCCUGUCUUUAAUUAGUAUUUUAUUUAAUCUAACAAAAAAUUAAUGAAAUUGGCCAUGCUUUUAUUUUUCUGAUCCUACGCUCUAUCAGGUACAAGGAAUUUCCUUAGUCACAUUAGUUUCUUCAAAGAUUGGGACAUUUAUUACCAAAAAAUUUAAAAAAUAAUCAAAGAAGUUAGACAAUGCUAGAUUUCUCAUCCCAUCA
rnacentral:lncRNA from 1 species